rnacentral:rRNA from 1 species
UACAGAGGGUGCAAGCGUUGUUCGGAAUUACUGGGCGUAAAGCGUGCGUAGUCGGUAUUGAGAGUCGCGGGUGAAAUCCCAGGGCUUAACCCUGGAACUGCCUGCGAGACCUCAGUACUAGAGUGUGAGAGGGGAUAGUGGUAUACCCAGUGUAGCGGUGAAAUGCGCAGAUAUCAGGAGGAACACCGGUGGCGAAGGCGGGUCUCUGGGCCGAUACUGACGCUGAGGAGCGAAAGCGUGGGGAGCGAACAGG